rnacentral:rRNA from 1 species
UACGUAGGGUGCAAGCGUUAAUCGGAAUUACUGGGCGUAAAGCGUGCGCAGGCGGUUGUGCAAGACCGAUGUGAAAGCCCCGGGCUUAACCUGGGAAUGGCAUUGGUGACUGCACGGCUAGAGUGUGUCAGAGGGGGGUAGAAUUCCACGUGUAGCAGUGAAAUGCGUAGAGAUGUGGAGGAAUACCGAUGGCGAAGGCAGCCCCCUGGGCCAGUACUGACGCUCAUGCACGAAAGCGUGGGGAGCAAACAGG